CAGCUCUCCCAAAGGAUUUGGGUCCCCUCCACAGACUCACAUCCUCUUGAAGCUGAGAUACUUCAGCAAAGCACUUGAGGUCCAUCAGUAUUUAUCUUCUUCUAAACUACACGGAGCCCAGGGACAGAAAUAAAACACGAAACAACUUACACAUCAGAAGCUAACCUGAAGCCAGCCUUUACUGACCUGAUGUCUGUAGGCGGUUUGAACAACAAACAAAAACAAUCAACAAAAAAGGAAAGCUACACUUAAGCAACAGCUGUUAAACAAGCCUGCAAUCACCACAUUUUGGAUCUAAUCUCCUUUGGAAUGAGUAACCCCAGGGUUAGACAUUCCAGUACCUGCCAUAUCCCCACCAAUCUUCUCAUGCUUACAAGGUAACAUUUAUUUUAUUGAUUAGUUUUCAAAGCUUAAAAACAGAGGUCCCUCUUUACUCAGUCACUGAGCAGUUUGGUGAAGGCUCUCUUCCCUGCAGACCAUAGUGCAACAGAACGUCCCUGGUUACUCUAACACAGAACGGCUUUUUUUCCAUCCUUACCUACAGAAGGUUACAGAAUCUCUGGUGUUGAUACGUAUGAACAAAAUUUAAACCCAAAGGCUCAUACAUGAGUAUUCUGUCCUCAGAAGGAUACCACUGAAACAGAACAUUUCCCAGCAGAAAUAAAAUCUCCUCCAAGCAAAUGAAAUCAUACUUUACAACAUACAACUAUUUUCAUGUGACAGUUUUCCCAUUUUUAUCAAAUUCCUUUCUCCACGAAAGAUGAAAGCAUUGAUAAAAGCAGAUCACACAAUUCCCAGAAAUGCUCUGCCAUCUUUGGCAAGCAACCAGAUCAACAGGGAAGCAUCUCAGCAGGGAAACAGGCCACUUGAUAAACACAGGUAUACAAUGCUGCCAUUGCUAGCAUGGCUUU